AUUCGCAACAUGUAGGGCUGGUAUAAAAAGACCAAAACCUUAUAUAUUUAUAUGAAGAUCAUGAUACCAUGUGUGUAAUUUGUAAACCUAAUUCAAACUAUUAAAGUUUAUUUUGCAUUGAGGGAAAUUGUAUAAUAUUUUUCAAAAAUAAUUGUCCCAUUAUGUGAGGUAAAGCCGUCUAAGUUGUCAACUUUUUGUUGACUACAAAGUUUAAAUAUUGGCCCUUCAUUUAACUUUUCUCAAAAAACGCCAACCGACAGCCAGCACUCCAGCAUUCCAGCACUCGGCAGUCCUCAGCCAAACAUCACGUAGACGCAACCCACAGGAACACCUCAAGAGCCAACACCUACCAAACGAACUGUGCGAGGCAGAGGGAUCGAGAGCCGAAGAGAUCUUUUUU
rnacentral:lncRNA from 1 species